UUCUCUCUGUUCUCUCUGUCUCUCUGUUCUCUGUCUCUCUAUUCUCUCUGUCUCUCUGUUCUCUCUGUCUCUCUAUUCUCUGUCUCUCUGUCUCUCUGUUCUCUCUGUCUAUCUAUUCUCUCUCUCGCUCUCUAUUCUCUCUCUCUAUUCUCUCUGUCUCUCUGUUCUCUCUGUCUCUCUGUUCUCUCUGUCUCUCUAUUCUCUCUGUCUCUCUGUUCUCUCUGUCUCUCUAUUCUCUCUGUCUCUCUCCCUACGACAGUAGUGGCUGUAGGAUGCAAUUACUUAACGUUGUUCAUUGUGGUUUUAAUAUCUAUGAUUUCCCAGCUAUGUUUACCUGACUAGCUGAGCCGUGUACAGGAUAUACUGGAGGUCAAAAGGACUCUAUGGACACCUCUUCUGCACAUCUUACAACUACCGGUAUGCAACAUUGAAGGAAAAAAAUUGCCGACAAAUGCAUAUGCAUACACAGCUGCUCUAGGUUGACCCACUACUGUGAAAAUUAAGACCUUGCUAGAUUAUUUUUCAAAUAAUAUUUAUGACUUGUAUAUAGUUUACUUUACAUACAUACACACACAUACAUAUGAAGGUGGAAUUGUGGUUUACACUAAUCUGAGUAACGAAACAACACCAGUAAAAUAUAAAUUCUGUUUUUUUUUCAGCAAGUUUGAAAUUUAAUGAACAUAAACAAGUACAUAAGCUGCUAUUUCCAUCAUUUGUAAAAAGCCCCCCCCCCAAAAAAAAAGCUCCAGUAAUUUGCAAAAUAAAGAAAAAGCCAUAAAAACUCAAACAAAUAAAAAUAUUUGGCCUCCUUGUUGUGGUAAUAUCAACAAUAUAUUCCAUAUGUAUUGUAAUAUAUUACCAUUAAUCCACAUGUCUAUAAGGCACCAAACGCUAAAUGGCACAAUCAUAGAAUAACUUUAUUCACUAUAAUUGUGCAGAAAAUACAAAGACAUCCAGAUCAACAGAAACACUCAAUCACAAAUUGGAUCAAAGGAAAUAUACUGCCGACCAUUAUAUUGUGUUGUUUAUUGGUCUCCAUUCAACUGAUUUAGGUUUUUCUGUCAAAAUGUGGGGAAACUGUAGAUUUCUGUAAAACUUUUGAGUUCCUUCUGAAUUGACAGUCAUGAGCUGUCAUCACUUGGUGUUCUCGAUUAUGCCUCCAGUUCAACAAUAUGCUCCUCCUUCUUUCCUGAGAUCAAAUCAAAUCAAAUCAAAUUUUAUUUGUCACAUACACAUGGUUAGCAUGAGAUUCAGGAAACUGUGUUACCGUAGCUGAAAUACAAACGCGAUCAUGAAUCUAAAUGAAUAAUGAAUGGAUUAGGCAUCAAAUUAUAAUCCCAUCAUUCAUAAAUAGUAACUAUUUUUUCAGUACAUCAUUUCUCAUCCAUUAACACAACAGGCAUAUUUAAAAAAAUCUGAAGUAAAAAAAAAAAAAAAAAAUCUUUGACAAUGUUUGGUAUAUGAAUGUGUUUCAAGUGUAAAUAUAGCAGAUGUAACAAUCCGUUCUCAACACUGUUGUUAGCAUGAUAUAACAUGUAAUAUCACAAAAUUCAACAUCCACCAGGAUCACAUUACUGUUCUAAGACAGAUAUUGCAAAAAUAGUCAUAUGAAAUCACUGGUCACUGAAUGAUGCAAUAAAACUACAUGCUGCUCAUUUGCCUUCACUGUCUUCUAUGUUUGGGGUGGCAGGUAGCCUAGUGGUUUAAACCAGGUAGCCUAGUGGUUUAAACCAGGUAGCCUAGGGGUUAAGAGCAGGUAGCCUAGUGGUUUAAACCAGGUAGCCUAGGGGUUAAGAGCAGGUAGCCUAGUGGUUUAAACCAGGUAGCCUAGGGGUUAAGAGCAGGUAGCCUAGUGGUUUAAACCAGGUAGCCUAGGGGUUAAGAGCAGGUAGCCUAGUGGUUUAAACCAGGUAGCCUAGGGGUUAAGAGCAGGUAGCCUAGUGGUUUAAACCAGGUAGCCUAGUGGUUUAGAGCAGGUAGCCUAGUGGUUUAAACCAGGUAGCCCAGCGGUUAAGAGCAGGUAGCCUAGGGGUUAAGAGCAGGUAGCCUAGCGGUUAAGAGCAGGUGGCCUAGUGGUUUAAACCAGGUAGCCAAGCGGUUAAGAGCAGGUAGCCUAGGGGUUAAGAGCAGGUAGCCUAGCGGUUAAGAGCAGGUAGCUUAAUGGUUUGAACCAGGUAGCCUAGCGGUUAAGAGCAGGUAGCCUAGAGGUUAAGAGAAGGAGGCCUAGCGGAUAAGAGCAGGUAGCCUAGCAGUUAAAAAUAGGUAGCCUAGCGGUUAAGAGCAGGUAGCCUGUUGGUUAAAAGCAGGAAGCCUAGCAGUGGGCCGGCAGGUAGCCUAGGGGUUAAGAGCAGGUAGCCUACUGGUUAAGAGCAGGUAGCCUAGAGGUUAAGAGCAGGUAGCCUAGCGGUGGGGCGGCAGGUUGCCUCGCAGUAAAAAGAAGGUAGCCUAGCGGUUAAGAGCAGGUAGCCUAGCAGUUAACAGCAUGUAGCCUAGCGGUUAAGAGCAGGUUGACUAGCGGUUAAGAGCAGGUAGGCUAGUGGUUAAGAGCAGGUAGGCUAGCGGUUAAGAGCAGGUAGGCUAGUGGUUAAGAGCAGGUUGACUAGCGGUUAAGAGCAGGUAGGCUAGUGGUUAAGAGCGGGUAGGCUAUUGGUUAAGAGCAGGUAGGCUAGCGGUUAAGAGCAGGUAGGCUAGUGGUUAAGAGCAGGUAGGCUAGUGGUUAAGAGCAGGUAGCCUAAUGGUUAAGAUCAGGUAGGCUAGGGGUUAAUAGCAGGUAGCCUAGCGGUUAACAGUAGGUAGCCUAGCGGAUAAGAGCACUGAGCCUUGCAAUUGAGAGAAGGUAGCCUAGCGCUUAAGAGUAGAUAGCCUGAAGGUUUAGAGAAGGUAGCCUAGCUGUAAAUCAGCAGGUAGCCUAGCGGCUAUGAGCAGGUAGCCUAGGAUUUAAGAUCAGGUAGCCUAUUGGUUAAGAGCAGGUAGCCUAGAGGUUAAGAGCAGGUAGUCUAGGGAUUAAGAGCAAGUAGCCUAGCAUUUAAGAGCAGGUAGUCUAGGUGUUAAGAGCAGGUAGCCUAGCGGUUAAGAGUAGGUAGCCUAGCAUUUAAGAGCCGGUAGCCUAGGUGUUAAGAGUAGGUAGCCUAGCGGUUAAGAGUAGGUAGCCUAGCGGAUAAGAGCAGUUAGCCAAGCGGUUAAGAGUAGGUAGCCUAGCGGAUAAGAGCAGUUAGCCAAGUGGUUAAGAGUAGGUAGCCUAGCGGUGGGGCGGCAGGUAGCCUAGCAGUUAAGAGUGUUGGGCCAGUAACCGAAAGGUCGCUGGUUUGAAUUACCUGAGCCAACUGGGUGAAUAAUCUGUCGAUGUGCCCUUGAGCAAGGCACUGAAUGUUAACUGCUCCUGUAAGUCACUCUGGAUUAGAGCGUCUGCUAAAUUAUGUAAAUGUAUUUAUUUACCUAUAUUUGUUACAAUAACGUCAAAUAUAUUUAAACUGUAAAAUCAUUAGUGAUGAAAAAAAAUGACCUGUGAUUUACAGUAAUUUUUUAUCAGAUUGGUUGGUGUCCAGUAUGACCUAUAUCAAUGUUCAGAGUGGUUGGUGUCCAGUAUGAC
ensembl:lncRNA